GACGAACGCUGGCGGCGUGCUUAACACAUGCAAGUCGAGCGGGGCCCCUCCUUCGGGAGGGUGUCCUAGCGGCGAACGGGUGAGUAACACGUGGGCAACCUGCCCUCAGCUCUGGGAUAACUCCGGGAAACCGGGGCUAAUACCGGAUACGACCUCCACGGGCAUCUGCGGAGGUGGAAAGUUUUUCGGCUGAGGAUGGGCCCGCGGCCUAUCAGCUAGUUGGUGGGGUAGUGGCCCACCAAGGCGACGACGGGUAGCCGGCCUGAGAGGGCGACCGGCCACACUGGGACUGAGACUCGGCCCAGACUCCUACGGGAGGCAGCAGUGGGGAAUAUUGCGCAAUGGGCGAAAGCCUGACGCAGCGACGCCGCGUGAGGGACGAAGGCCUUCGGGUUGUAAACCUCUUUCAGCAGGGACGAAGCGAAAGUGACGGUACCUGCAGAAGAAGCACCGGCCAACUACGUG
rnacentral:rRNA from 1 species